rnacentral:tRNA from 1 species
GCACCAUUAGCCAAGUCUGGUAAGGCAGUUGACUGCAACUCAACGAUCGGUGGUUCAAAUCCGCCAUGGUGCUCCA